rnacentral:rRNA from 1 species
AGCAGUAGCCGCGGGAAUACGGAGGGUGCAAGCGUUAUCCGGAUUUAUUGGGUUUAAAGGGUCCGUAGGCGGACUUAUAAGUCAGUGGUGAAAGCCUGUCGCUUAACGAUAGAACUGCCAUUGAUACUGUAAGUCUUGAGUAUAUUUGAGGUAGCUGGAAUAAGUAGUGUAGCGGUGAAAUGCAUAGAUAUUACUUAGAACACCAAUUGCGAAGGCAGGUUACCAAGAUAUAACUGACGCUGAGGGACGAAAGCGUGGGUAGCGAACAGGAUUAGAUACCCCGGUAGUCCCUGUCUCUUAUAC